UAAGCCCAAAUAAAAUUAUGGCGUCCAUACUCUUCUUCCGCGAAAUUUCUUUCUUCUCUUCUUCUUCAUUCCGCCAGCAACCCAAACUGCACCGACUCUCCCUCCUCAACUCCGGUCUCGACAGCGUCUUGCACUCAUCAUACCGUUUGGCAGCAGCUCCGCGCGACAUCCUCAGCUUCACCAGCAUACCGUUCGGCAACAUCUCCUUUCGUCGUUCACCAGCAGUCUCCGGUCGUGGCAGCAUCUCUCACUACGUUGUUCACCAGCGGCCUUCGUUCAAGGGCUCAUUAAUUGGACACCCAGUUGAAAAUAUUCGUAUAUGUUUAACAGAUGGAGCUUCUCUUCCAGUGGAUUCCAGCGAACUUGCAUUUAAUGUUAUACAGCAGCAAGACCUGUGAUAUUGGAGCCUGUUAUUCUGGUGGAUUUGAAAGUACCCACAGAAUUUCAGGGCACUGUUGCUGGCGAUAUUAAUAAGAGAAAGGGUACAAUUGUUGGAAAUGAAUAGGAUGGAGAUGAUUUUGUUAUUACUGCCCAUGCAAGGGCAAGCUUGAUCAGCCCUGAUUCGGAGAGCUCUGAGAGCGGAAUGUCCAUGAUCAGCUGCUCAACCGCCACAGUUUAAGAGGAGACAGGAACAUGAGAACCAUAAAUGUUUGUUUUGCCCUUAGAGUGGCCAGUGGUUGAUUGUACUCUGGAAAUUUUGUAAACUAACUUUUUAAACGUUGUUUCUUUUGGGAUCCCUUGUGUAAAAUAUUUGAUUAUAUGAAAAGUAUCUUUUGAGACCAAAACCCUUUAAUCCUAGCUCAUUAAUGGUUUUAGCAACACGUUUUUAACUAAAUGACUUUAUUAGCAAGUCCUGCACCCUUAUAAAUACACAGUGUAGCGGUCUUGGCUAUCCAGGGCGUUACAACUUGGUAUCAGAGGGUCUUAGGUUUAAGGGUUCCUGAAGACCGGCUGGACGUGUACAUUCGCUGCUAGAGACAAGCUUGAUGCAGGGUUUGGUAAUGUGUAUAUGUGCUUAUGUGCUUGUAUGCUUGGAAAGAAAUGUGAUUCUUGUUAUCUGUUGGAUUAAUAUGAAGCAUGAGAUACUGAUAGGGCCUAGCCCUUGAUUGCUGUGUGAAAAUAUUGAGGCAUGUUUAUUAGCAUCGCCAUGCAUGUAAAUGAAUAUUUGAAUGAUUAACUGCAUAUUGUGAAUAUAUGGAUAAAUGCUUAUAUCUUGGUUGUUUGUGAUUGAUUAUGUUUCAUUGGUGGAUUUUGGAGAAGCGUUUUACCCUGUCGUCAUGGUCGGACUGCCGAGUCGUUAAUUGCAGAUUGACUUGGAUAGUAUGCGUCCAAGAAAAUCUACAUGACUAGCCGGCACUAGGUCUGGGACCAGAGGUGAUGAUCAGGGCCAGAUUCCCCCGCCAGUUCCAGAAAACUGGCAGCAGAUUAUGGCAGAGAUGCAAGCGCAAUUACAGAGCCAAGAUGAGUAGAUUCGUCUUCUGCGACAGUAGGCUCCAGCAGGGAGUGUUGCACCUAUUGUGCCACCUGUAGUGGCACUAGUUAUUCAGCCAGCAGAGGUUGGGAACAGGUGGGAGCCAUUGUAUGAGCGGUUCCGGAAGCAGCAUCUCCCAACUUUUGAGGGAGGACCUAACCCACUGAAGGCCGAGCAGUGGAUGACUAUGAUUACUACUAUCCUGGACUUCAUGAGCAUAGAGGGACACGACAGAGUGGCCUGUGCCACAUAUAUGCUGAGAGAGGAUGCCCGCAUCUGGUGGGAAGUGGCAUCACAGACCAGGGACGUCACUGCUUUGAGUUGGGAAGGAUUUAAAGAUUUGUUUAGUCAGAAUACUACAAUGUUGCCAUCAGGGCAGCAAAAGUUAAUGAGUUUGUGGGAUUGGUGCAAGGCAACAUGUCAGUUACUGAGUAUGCCCUAAAAUUUGAUAGAUUUGCGAAAUUUGCACCAGACCUUGUGCCUAUUGAUGCUACUAGGCAAGACAGAUUCAUUAGGGGGCUUAAUGCUAUGAUAGACUGGGAUGUAAGGAUUACAACGGUACCUGGGGGAAAAACUUAUGCCCAGGCCGUUGAGAAGGCUCUUACCGUUGAGGAAGCGGAGAACAAGAUUUGGAAGGAAAGUGCAGCGAGGCGCAAGGGUCGCAGAGUGGUUGUAAUGCCCCGGAUUCCCUAUUAUGGUUAACGGCUGGAUUUGUAGGCCGGGAGGGCCAUAAUUGUUUAAUUAUGCCAUUGAAUGCGUUUAUGCAUGUUUAUGAGAAUUAUAUUAUAAUAUAAUGUCAAUUGUAUGCAUGUCGGUGAUAUAUGUUGGGACCACAUUAUGAUGUGGGUUUGCUCGAGCUAUUCGACUUGAGACGAUCGUAGAAUAUUGAUUAGCGGUUUAGUCACAACAGGUGUAAGAGCCGGGGCUUGGGUUGAGUCUCGGGGUGAUUCUGAUGGUUAGAGCGUUACCGAGAGAUAAAGGGUAACGGGACGUGAAUUAUUGGUGUUUAUGAUUAUUGAGAAUAGCGGGAGUUGGAGAGCGUUAAUUAUGAUUAACGAGUUAGGAGGAAAGUACCAAAAAUGCCCUUGGGAGCCUUUAGAAAGUAUUAAUUGACCUAGGGAUAAAAUGGACAUUUCACCCCUAGGAUAGAUAUAACUCUUGGCUGAAGUAAGUAGUGGAAAAAAAACAGAGUGUGUAAAGGAGUUCUCCCGUACCUUCUUUUCUUCAUUGUUCUUUGUGGUUUUUGAACCAAUUUUGAGGAUUCAAGCUUGAGGAGCAAGCCUUGGGAGUUUAGGAGUGUGUUCCACCAUUGAAGGCCAUCAUAAGCCAAGCUUUGGGUAAGUUUCUAACCAUGGUUUUCUCUGGUUCGCCCUGUUUUGGUUUUGUUUUGCAGCUGAGUUUUCUAGGAUGAAUUCAUGGUUUUGUUGGGAGUUUUGGCUAGGGUUCCCAUGCUUGUGAUGUUUGGGGUGUGUUAGGAUGGUUUUUGGGUUCUUUUGGCAUCAAGAAUAGGAUUUGGAAGCUUGGAAAUCGAGUUAGAAUCGAAGAAGUUGAAGAAGGUCGGUUUAGGGGUGUUUGGGCCUGGAGGUAGCGCUACAGCGCCCACCCUAGGGCGCUAUAGCGCUCCUCAGGAGGUUUUCUGGCUCUUGGGAGGUUCUGUGUUGAGCGCUGUGGCGCUAGGGGUUGAGCGCUGUGGCGCUAGGGGUUGAGCGCUGUAGCGCUACCCUGUUCCUUCCAAACCCCGUUUUGAGUGUUUUUAAGGGUUUUUGACUUGGGGCUUCAAUCCUUAAGGCCCGGGAUCGAAUCUACUCACCGUGUGGGCAUGUUUCAAGGUCCCGAGGGUGGUGCUUAGGUUAAGACCCUAUUUUUGUGGAUACUCAUUAAUGGAGGUUAUAAUUGGUUGUGAUUAGGUAACUGCUAAGGAACUAAAAGAUCGAUCGUUCUCAGGGGUCGUCUUUAUCAUACUUCUCACUCGAACUUGAGGUAAGAAAACAGUGUAUGGAUAUAGUUGCACCCUGUACAGGUAUAUGACAUGCAUGGUUUGAUAUUGAGGCAUGUUGGUUGAUACAUGUGAACGUGGAUUGCAUAUAAAAUGCUAAUGAAUGCUGAUUACCUGUUUAAGACAUUGACUAGUCAGAGACCGACUCUAAAGUCGAUGAUCACGCAUUGAAAGGCCCUAUGGCAUUAAUGCGGGACCGACUCUAAGGUCGAAGAACUUAUAAGCGCUUGCCUGGUCUACGACCAGAUGUCUAUAGCCAAGGUAUAUGACCCUGGUGACCGUCAGUCACGUGGCUAAGGGACGUUGUCCAUAGCUUCGACUCUAGAGUCGUGAGGAAGGUUAUGUUGGUGACUAAUCACCAUGCACCUGUCCUGAUCGAACAUAUGAAAGAAUCACUUAACCGUUAAGCCCUGGUGACCCUAUCGUCACAUGGCUAGAGGGAGCGAUGCUCGUUAUUGUGACUUCUGGUUAUUGUCACCUAUUUACUGGACUGAUGGUCUUGAAUGGUUAUUAUGAUCGCUGUUGAUAUUAUAUCAUGUUUUACUGUGUUUUCUUGAUGGGCCUUGACUCAUGGGUGCUACG